UAUGCGUGGUUUUAAUUGAUUCAUUCAUUAAAAAUAAUGAACACUUUUUUGAAUUUGGACGAUACCAAGGCUGGAAUGAUAUCUCUUGAUAAAGAGGAGAUUAAUAAAAAAAUUCAAGAAGCAUCUUUGGGAUCGUUAUACUAUGAAACUCAAUUGAAAAGAGCAACAAUUCUUGAAAAAAGGAUUUUAAAUCAGCAUAUAUUUUUAUCAACAUGUGAUAAUCUUCGAUUUGAAUCUGCGAAAUUGAAAAUGGAAAAGAUUUUUAAAGAUUUAAGAAAUAAGCAAGACUUAUCACAAGUUAUAGUACAUAUAGACCUUGAUGCGUUUUUUGCUGCUGUUGAGAUGAGAGACAAUCCUACUUUAACAUCGAAACCUAUAGCUAUUGGUUCAAUGCAAAUGAUUUCAACAUCAAAUUACAUUGCCAGACGUUAUGGGGUUCGAGCUGGUAUGGCUGGAUUCAUAGGCAAGAAACUUUGCCCUGAUCUCCAAUUUAUUCAUUACAAUAUUCACAAGUAUAAGCAAGCAUCUAAAAUGUUCCAACAGAUUUUAAGCCUUUAUGAUUCCAAGUUUAGCUCGGGGGGAUUAGACGAGGCCUACCUAAAUUUGACGCCUUACCUAAAUGAAAAACGCACCUUCUUAACUCUAGAAGAAAGAACUUUCAUCUUUACACGCAUAUGCCAAUGCUUUUGUCACAAUGCUUCACAAAAGGUAUCCCUCACCGAUCUCCCAUCCACUUCCAAUUAUGAAUCGGAUGCCACUAUAUCAGCGACCCCUCAAAAUUCGGCCUUUUUAACUUGCUGCUGUAGGCGAACUACCGAAUAUGCGGAAAUGCACAAAAAUGGUUACGAAAUUCCUGGUUGCAUUAUGGCCGAUCAGAAAUAUAAAAACAUUCAAAACAAAUCACAAUCUAUAAAGAUGACAUUUGAUGUAACGAUUCAAGACACCAUUAAGGAGAUUAGGACACGGAUUUAUGAAGCAAUCGGAAUUACCUGUAGUGCAGGCAUAGCCCCAACUCCAUUGUUGGCCAAAAUUUGCACCGAUAUCAAUAAACCUUGUGGACAGUUCAUCCUCGAGAGCGAUAGAAAUCAAAUCGAAACAUUCAUAAAAAAUACUCCGAUAAAUAAGAUAAACGGCAUAGGUAAGGUAACAUCGGCACUUUUGAAAUCCAUAAACGUAAACACCUGCGGUGAUAUUUGGACUCUGAGAGACAAAAUAGGACUCCUCUAUUCUGAUAUUUUUUGCCGCUUCAUUCUUUCCGUUUUUAUCGGCGGACACAGCGAGGCAGGUAGCGAUGACGAUUCCGAUGAUGACUCAGAGUGCCGCCGUCGUAAGAGUAUAGGAGUCGAACGCACAGUAGCCCGCUGCGAUGCCCGCCAUGAUUCUGCUCUAAUCUAUGAAAUCUGUGCCGAGUUAUGCCGGACUUUGGCACACGAUUUGCGGUCCCGUCAACUAACCGGUUCCCUACUUACCGUUAAAAUUAAGUCAUCCAAUUUUCGCGUAAUGACGCGCGUCAAACGCCUUCCACGAGCAACUAACGAUGAGGUUCUUAUGUUGAAUUAUGCUUGGGAUUUGAUCAGGCCUGAAUUGGAAGCGGCUAAAAAGGCGGCAGCGAUUGAAAAUCAACGGUUGAGGAUUCAAAAAUCUCAAUAUUUCCCAAAAUUCGAACCGUACGAUAUCAAGAGCGAUGUACCGGACUCAAACAUGACAAUUAUAUCGCUAUUUACCAAACCUGAACCAAAACAGUCUACAAAACCAAAAGACCCACCUAAGAGAGAGGAGACAGAGAGGCCAUACAGACAGAUCGUCGAAAAUCAAGAAGAUUUUCUAUAUCUUCGGCUCUUGGGAGUGAGAAUGUUGAAAUUAGUAAACACUAAGACGAAUGAAAUGCAGGCUAAUUACCUGAAAGGGUGGAUGAGUAACAACAAAUCUCUCCACCCCGAAAUCAUAGUCAAAAAGGAUUCUCCCAAACUACUUGUAGAAGAAAAUAGUAUGGAGGAAGCAUGUACCCUGGACGGCCCCAUAUACCACGUAGUCUCAUAUGUUGACGAUGAGGAUGACGAGUGCCAGUAUGGGUUCGUUCGCAGAAAUUGAUUACGAGUUAUUUUACAAAACAUGGCUCGAUUUGGAACGGAAUAAAUUGGUAUCCAUUUUAUAUAACGGCUAGUACUUUCGUUCCCUACUGUGGGUUGAUCCGUACUAUCGAUUUCAAUCUUUUCAUAUAUGAUGGUGUCUUUAGUUGUCGAGUCUCAUAUAGGAUCAAUGUCUUUGGCUAUCGAGUUUUGUAUAGAAUCAAUGUCUUUAACUAUCAAGCGUUAAUCCAUGUACGUCCCAACAGACUCAACUACUACCGCUUGUAAAUAUUUUGAGAUACCUUCAUAAGUCACUUUAACUUGCGUAAUGCCUAUGAUCUUAAUUAAAUUUCCAUCAUAGGCGCAGGGGCGUCUCUAGCCUUUACAAUCUCAGGGGGCUCAACUAAAAAUAAUUUAUAGGGGGUAGAGUGGGGGGUGCAAAGCCCUUCAUACUCCCAUUCUUGCAGGCCUUCGGCCGGGUUUUUUAUUAUAUAUUAUACUUUUUUAAAAUUUGCUCCCU